rnacentral:rRNA from 1 species
GGCCUGGCUGGGUGGUCUUGCCGAAAGGUAAGCACUGCUCUGGUCGGGUCUUUCCUUCUGGGGAACCAGCGUGCUCUUAACUGAGUGCGUUGGGGAUCCAGGACUUUUACUUUGAAAAAAUUAGAGUGCUUAAAGCAGGCUAGUGCUUGAAUAGAUUAGCAUGGAAUAAUAAAAUAGGAC